UACAGAGGGUGCGAGCGUUAAUCGGAAUUACUGGGCGUAAAGCGUGCGUAGACGGCUAUCUAAGUCGGGUGUGAAAGCCCCGGGCUCAACCUGGGAAUUGCAUUCGAGACUGAAUAGCUAGGGUGCGGUAGAGGGAAGCGGAAUUUCCGGUGUAGCGGUGAAAUGCGUAGAUAUCGGAAGGAACAUCAGUGGCGAAAGCGGCUUCCUGGACCAGUACCGACGUUCAGGCACGAAA
rnacentral:rRNA from 1 species